CAAAAAUAAAUUUCCAAAUUUUCAUUCAUAUACAUGCUACAAAAUUCAAAAAAAAUCCUUGAAUUUAUAAACAUACUUUUAUUUUUCAAAAUUUAAAUCCACUAAAUUUAUCAUCUACUUUUAAAAAUCUCUCAAAAUCUCAAUAUUAAUAUAAAUGAUGUGAAACUAAUUCUUAAAAAUCUCUCCUUAAGUCUGCUUCUAAAUUCCACUCUUUAAUUUGCAAAAGAACCUUGGAGCUACCAUAGAUGCAUAGUUUUGUGCCUUAGGAUCUAAUUUCGACCUAGUUUGAC
rnacentral:lncRNA from 1 species